CUGGAUAUGACAGAAAAGAGAAGAAAAACUGGUUAUCUGAGAGAGAAAUUACGAAUACGAAAUUUAGCAUCCAAAUUUCCGAUUCCAUUAAUUGUCCUUCUCCCAAAUAAAGCCUAACUAAAGAAAAGAAAUAGAAGUAGGAAUCAGCAGAGCAAUAAUAAAUCCAAACGCAUGAAAAUGAACUAAAGGAAUCGCAGAGCAAGUAAAACAAGAUAAAGAAUAGCAUCCAACGUGAAAAAUGGAAGAUAUAUUCCUGAAUUAAAGACCAAUCUGGUUUCCAAAUCUUGUGCAUUCAGUCACCUGUAGACUACAGAAGCUAAAACCACUAGUUUCGAAAUCAAUUAAGGUGCAAUCCGAAGGCAAAACAAAGAAUAUGAGCUGUUGCUGACACUAAAAAACUCUAAGUUCUCAAUGCUGACGAAUGAAGAAUCAGGUACUGGAAGUUGAGCUGUUAAGCAAUUUCAAGUCAGAUCAGAUCUAGCAAAUGUAGAAAGAGCAGCGAUGAAAAAAUGAAGUAAAGCUACACUAACAAUAGAAACUAGAGGCAUCUAUAAGUACAUGCAUACAUAUACACAUACAUACACCGAUAAUGAAGAUUCAAAAUGCUCAACCUGUCCCACAAGCAAUACAACGGUAAGCUUAAGAUAAGAAAGAAUGGUGUGCGAAGCUGUUACCUGAUCUGAAAACUGAAGACAAGGAGAUCUUCUCUAUUAUUAUUGAAGAUUAGGAUGGAGAGAGAGGAUUAGGGAAUGAGUGACUGAAAGAGACUGGAGAGUGGAAGGGAAGAAAAAAGGGAAGACGGUAAGGCAAAACCCAGCUCUGUCAGCAUUGGGAGCUGUGGAUCGAGAGAUUGCCCGAUGAUUGCCACCUCCAUUGCCACGCGUCCUCGGGGGCGCUUGUAUGCACGCUCUUUCCUAGUUUUUAGAAUCAAGUUUCCUUGAUUUUUAUUUUUAAAAUUAAUUUGAUUAAGCAAUAAUUAUGGUAUUAAAAGUUAAUUAAGACAAAAUUUCAUUUGAAAUUUUAUUUAAAGCAAAUGGUUAAUAUGAUUAUGAAAUCUUUCUAAAUUUGUUUCAAAUCCAACAAUUCCUGAGUUUGAUGGUCCCA
rnacentral:lncRNA from 1 species